UUUUUUUUUUUUUUUUAAAUGAUGAACUAGACCAAACCAGCCCACCAGUCCCCAAAACAAAACCCGCAACCCCUUAGAACUGAAACUUGAGUCUGAAGAACUGCACUUGUGUACGGUUCUUCGGGGUUCCCUACCAAACUUCAGAACUAUACUUGUGCAUGGUUCUUGGGGUUCCAUACCAAACUGAAGAAAUGUACUGAACCGAUCAAAAUCAUACCGAACUUAACUUAUUUUACUAUUUUGAUUCAAUAGUAAUUUUCACCAAGAAUCGAACUAGACCAGAAAUAAACUAAGAACUGAUUAUAUAUACACGUUUUUCUAUGAUUUUUGUUAGAUAUAUUAUAUACUUUCAAUGUAAUUAUAUAUUUAUAUGCAAUUAAUAUUGUUAUAUAUAUUAUAAUUAAG
rnacentral:misc_RNA from 1 species